rnacentral:rRNA from 1 species
UACGUAGGGGGCAAGCGUUGUCCGGAUUUAUUGGGCGUAAAGAGCGUGUAGGCGGUUAGAUAGGUCCGUUGUGAAAACUCGAGGCUCAACCUCGAGACGCCGAUGGAAACCAUCUGACUAGAGUCCGGAAGAGGAGAGUGGAAUUCCUGGUGUAGCGGUGAAAUGCGCAGAUAUCAGGAAGAACACCCGUGGCUAAGGCGGCUCUCUAGUACGGUACUGACGCUGAGACGCGAAAGCGUGGGGAGCAAACAGG